rnacentral:rRNA from 1 species
UACAGAGGGGGCAAGCGUUAUUCGGAAUUAUUGGGCGUAAAGGGUGCGUAGGCGGAUAGUACAGUCAGGCGUGAAAUUCCUGGGCUCAACCUGGGGGCUGCGUUUGAUACGUAUUGUCUGGAGUUCGGAAGAGGGUCGUGGAAUUCCCAGUGUAGAGGUGAAAUUCGUAGAUAUUGGGAAGAACACCGGUGGCGAAGGCGGCGACCUGGUCCGAUACUGACGCUGAGGCGCGAAAGCGUGGGGAGCAAACAGG